GAGACUAUAUACAGGGGGUACCGGUACAGAGUCAAUGUGGAGACUAUAUACAGGGGGGUACUGGUACAGAGUCAAUGUGGAGGCUAUAUACAGGGGGGUACCGGUACAGAGUCAAUGUGGAGACUAUAUACAGGGGGUACCGGUACAGAGUCAAUAUGGAGACUAUAUACAGGGGGGGUACCGGUACAGAGUCAAUGUGGAGACUAUAUACAGGGGGGUACCGGUACAGAGUCAAUAUGGAGACUAUAUACAGGGGGUACCGGUACAGAGUCAAUGUGGAGGCUAUAUACAGGGGGUACUGGUACAGAGUCAAUGUGGAGGCUAUAUACAGGGGGGUACCGGUACAGAGUCAAUGUGGAGACUAUAUACAGGGGGUACCGGUACAGAGUCAAUAUGGAGGCUAUAUACAGGGGGUACCGGUACAGAGUCAAUGUGGAGACUAUAUACAGGGGGGUACCGGUACAGAGUCAAUGUGGAGACUAUAUACAGGGGGUACCGGUACAGAGUCAAUAUGGAGACUAUAUACAGGGGGUACCGGUACAGAGUCAAUAUGGAGACUAUAUACAGGGGGGUACCGGUACAGAGUCAAUAUGGAGACUAUAUACAGGGGGUACCGGUACAGAGUCAAUAUGGAGACUAUAUACAGGGGGUACCGGUACAGAGUCAAUGUGGAGGCUAUAUACAGGGGGUACCUGUACAGAGUCAAUGUGGAGGCUAUAUACAGGGGGUACCGGUAGAGAGUCAAUGUGGAGACUAUAUACAGGGGGUACCGGUACAGAGUCAAUGUGGAGGCUAUAUACAGGGGGUACCGGUAC
rnacentral:lncRNA from 1 species